UUUGCGACGACUGAAGAAGUGGAGUGGAGUCAGGGGAACAUCAUCGGACUCAGAGUGGCAGGUGAAGAGGACCCACCUACCACCAGACGGGAGCCCCCCCCCCCAGCCGCCGAGACUCCCAAAGGAAGAGGACCAACGGGACGCCGCUGGAUCCACGGGUGGAAGUCCACGCUGGAGGAUCUGAAAGAGCCUGAAGCCCAGCUCUGCUUGCCAGGUGAGUAUCAGAGUAGGCCCUGACUGCUCUGACAAAGCAGAGGCAUGAUUGGUUUCAUCAGAGCAUGUUCCCGUUUUUCUUGCUACAUGACAAGCACUGUGAAGAAGACCUCCUCCCCAUGUGAGGAAGAGCACAGGUGUCCUCACCAGAACUGAGUUGCUUCUGAUCUUAGUUCUUUCGCUUGCAGGGCCAUUGCUUUGUGAGGAACAGCCACUUCUGGCCAGGUGUCUGCUGACUCCAAGUACAAAUUCCAAUGCAACCCGCCUUUGCAGGGGUCUUUCUUUGUAGCAAGUGCUUUGGUGUAUGCAGGCAAAUUUAAAUCCUGUUUGCUUUACGUUUUCCAUGCUCCUACAGGGACUUCUGGUGACACCUUGGGAUAUUUGAGGCCUUUCAGCUAUGUUGUUUUAAAGAGUGUGUUCCAGCAAUAGGUAUGGUGGCAUCCUCUCAGCAUCCUUUAACCCUUCUAUAAGCUAUCUGCCAUCAGCAUAACUAGUUUUAACAGAACUUUGAUUGAGAAAUGGUAUCUGUGAGGCUGUUACACAUAGUUGGAUAAUACAGUCUUCGGAGUUCUCAUAAAAAGCAUCUUUGCUACUCAGCAAUUAGCUCUGGACUUUGUUUUUCCACCUGGGGUGAAUUUUUGGCUGUGUUGCUCUUUCAGCUGUGAGAUUGAUGAGCAGUGACAGCCUUUGCAGAGAAAUGGUAGGUCAGGCGUGCAAAGGCCCUCUGUAAGAGAGAAAGACAGAGUUGAGGGAAUGCCUUGCAUCAGUGAGGGUGUCCCCACUUCCAUAGGCAUUGAUGAAGGAUAGACAUGGAGAGGAAAAGAAAACACAUGAUUUUAGCAUAUGCUUUGCUGAUCCUCUAAGCCUCUCCAGGUCAGCCAAGUGAAAUGUAUUGGUGUUUCUGAGAGACAACUAGUGCCCAUUCAUCCUGUGUUAUUUUGGUCUUCUUGGUGGUGUGUCUGAACCAAAUGGGCUCUUUCUUGAGUAGUGGAGUGGCAGAAGCAAACGGUGGCCUUAGUAGAUUUUUGCUCCCCAGCUAAUGCUGAGAAGUGGUAAGACAGAGAUUUGUGAGUUUUGGGUGAUGGCUGCAUAAUGAAAGGACAGCUCAAAUUAGGACCCUGCCACAGUGCUGAGGCAGGAAGUUGCUCUGAUGCAUGCAGAUUGCUCUCGUGGGCAGAGUUCUUCUCUUCCUCUCUCCCCACUGACCGCAGACCAAAGCUCCCCUGGCACUUUCUCUGACUUUGCCUUUUUUAAAUCUUUGGAGUCUUUACUCUUCCAGAGAAGUAUUGCAUCUUCCUUUGUGACCAGAGGAGCAUCACAAUGGUUUUUGUGAAUAUAUAAGCAAUGUGUCAUGCAACAGAACUGCUCAGGGCAGCAGGGGACUGCGAGCAGUGACCAGCUGAGGUUCAUGGUAUGUUUUUAAAUCUGCUUUGUAAGUCUGAAAGCCUGCUGCAACCCAUGAAUCACUUUUACAUUAUACCAAUGGGGAAUGUUACUGGAAAAUAUAAUGAUAUAUUGUAAUAAUCCAAGUUCAGGUCCAGGAAGAUAAAUCUUCCCCUUCAUUUAUUAAUUUUUGUAGAAAUUUCUCCUAAAUUCCCAGUAACUAAACUGAAAAUUGAAAUUUUGCUGCUUUUCCUGAGAUAAGAAUUUAAUGUGGCAAGUGUACAUCAGCCAUGGUGCAAAUAUAAAAUAGACAAAAAAUCAACAGAAUGAAGGCCUUAAUUUUCUACCAGAUGUAUGGGUGGCAGGCCCAUUGCUUUGUUUCUUCCAGUUUCUCAGUUCUUGUUCUGAGACUUGAUUUGUGAUGAUCCUAUGCACUGUAGACCACAACUUCAGAAUACGAUUCUCUUUUUCUUCCCUUUAUUUUUUUUCUUAACCUAGUUUGAUUAGCAGCAAAUCUGUGAACAGUACUUCCGUUUAAGUUAUGAUCCCGUAUCUAUUGAGAAAUUAUGUAUGAAGAUAUUUUAUUCUCCUUAAAACAAAAUGGAAAUGUUAAGCGUUCAUCUAAAUUUUGUAACUUCUCAACGAAAAAAACAGCUAUCCCACUUAAAGUCAAAAAGUUUGCUUAUGUAUCUGUAUAUAGCCUUAGAGGCUAAUAUUACAUUCUGUGGAACUGAAGGCAGCUCAUAUCCAUAUUAGAGCUUUGCUUUGAGUUUUUUUUGCAAAUCCAGACUGUAACACUGCAACACCUCACUUGGUUCAUAAUCUGAAAGGUACUUUUCUGACCACAAUGAAGAGGAAAUAUGAAGCAGAAGAAACUGGUAAGGAGAAUAUCUUGCCACGGUUCUUUUUCCAAGUCCAAGUGCACUACUGGGAGAAGAUAAUAAACCAGCCAGAAAAAUAACAUUGCUGUGCGUUAAAAGACAAAUUGCAAGGACAAUCUGAUUUAUGAAAGGGAAAGAUUACUCACUUUGGAACCAUUUAAAAAUGAAUCUAUCUUCAUGAAAAAGCAGCUGUUAAAACUGGCGUAAGUAUUUAUGUUUGACCUUGAUUGUUCAGCCUUUGGUAAGAAAACAUCAGCAGUUUUCUUCAGAAAAAUAGCAUUUAAUCAAGUUGCCAUUGGGUGUAGCUAUUGUGUUACUCUCUCCCUAGGUGAUCACAUAACAAAUACAGAACUGGUUAUUUUUGCUAUAUAGACAAUAUAGAACAAUAUUUUUCCUUAACAAUUUCAGAUUUGUCAGUAUUUUCUAAGAAUGACAGAAAUUGUACUAAUUAUUAGAAAAAUUGAUUAUUAAUUACUAAUUAUUAGAAAGAAAGAGUUUACUAUAUAUCCAUUAUUCCAACUGAUACAUAUUUUAAUCAUUAAACUAUUUUAAAAAAUACAGACAGUACAUUUUGUGUUUUAGCUUGAAGGUGGCGUACUUGAGGAGAUGUGCCUUUCCCUAAUUUGAAUAAAUUUGGUUUUGAAAUAACAAUGAUCUGGAGGAGCGGAGAAAAACCCACUUAAAUCUAAUGAAUCCUCGAGAGUAUGCAGAGAUGUUUCAUAAGCAGAUUCUAUGUGCCUAGCAGAACUUGUUGUUCUACUCCCACAGGAUUAGUCGUUCUCAUGGGAAUAAAGGGAGCUAAAUAAACCGUUCUCCUUCUCUAUCCCUCCUUGCCCAGUGUAUAGGACACAGAAAUGUAGGCAUUUGACUGCUUUUUAAAAUGUUAGCAGGCAAAGCAAGAGAAGCAAAAGGAUUGGGUCAAAAUAACGCAAUAGACAUUGAAUAUUCUCAAAUCGGUUAAGGAGCAGGCCACUUUUAGGCUGGUGCCCAUGACAAAUUUAAAGGCUGAAUUUAUGCUGCUUAGCAAACUUUGGCUAUAUUAUAUAUAUAGUAAUAGUUAAAGCCAUCACUUUCACAAUGGGAACAAUGCAAAUCACUUGGUACCGAAUGUCCUUAUUUCUGCUGCUGUCAGAGCUCCUCUGAUCUAAACCUUCCGAGGGCAGGGAGAAGGACAUUCCCCCUGCAUCAAGGGUAAGUCUGUUCUGUGUUCUUCCACUGCAGUGAAGGAUAUAUGACUUCCCAGGGAAAAGACAGAAGAGUUGCAUCUUCUCUGCUUUUCUUGUAUAUUACAGAAGUAGAGUUUGCAGUAUGAGAAAUCUAGUGGCAUAACUGACAUCUAGCAACCCAUUUGUGGCUCUUCAUUGUGGUUCGUCUUCCCUUGAUGCCGUAGGUUCCUCCAGGAAGGAAUAUCAUCUCCUUAGUUGUACUGAGUAGCUUCAAACACACCUCUGAUUUUAGCACUAGCAGCUUAAUUCUUCAAACUAAAAUUUUUAAGAGGUCUAAAGCUGACUUCUGAGUACCUCGAAGUUUCAGCUGACACAGGGGCCUUGUUUUGGGAGUAAAGUAAAAUGUCUGUAAGAAAAAUAAUAAACUAUAUUGCUUAAAUUUGAUGUUCAUUAAAGAUAGGGAGUUCUAACACUGAUUCACACUAAGACAGGUGUGGACCCAGGAAAAGGUCAGGCACCAGCCUAGGAAGAUAAGGAAGGAGCACGGAUGACAAAUGAGUGUGGGACUCCUUCAGUGAGGGUCAGUGGCAGCCACUAAUCUAGGUCUCAGCCAGAAACAUUUCCACAGACAUUUUAAAUGUGCACAGUUACCUUCUUGUUUGCCAAAUCAGUUUGUUUGGGAUCCAAGUUACCUGAGACAUCUGUUAGCUCAGUGGAAAUGCCCAAUCACCUGCAGUGAAUGAUUUGAUUUUUUCAUUAAAAAAAAAUCAACUAGAAUAUCCCUAAGACUCAGAAAACUACUAGCAGAGUAAAAGAAUAUUAAAAAUUUUAUUUUUAACAGAGAGGAAUUCUAGGAAAUGUGGGUACAGUUUUCAAGAGCCCCAGAGAGUGAAAUAAGCACAUUGGCCUUUUGAAAAUGUUAACUCUGUCUAUGAAUUUAAUGAGGUAUGUUACAAGAUGUUAUAGGAUAUAUAGUUAUUCCAGAUCAGGGACUGAUAAUCAGUAUACAGAAAACAUCUGAUACUCAUAAAAGGCAAAGUGUAGUUAAGAUAUUAUCAGUUAAUUACACUAUGUCCAGUUCAGUUAUUGAGGGGACAUAAAGAGCUUUUUUUCCUGCCCUCAUUUUGGCUCUUGCAAUGGGUCUGCUACCUACUUUAGUCUGAUCUUUCUACAGCCAGGUGUUAGUCAGGUAAGGCCCAUGGUGCUUCUUGCUCCCUUGGUAGCAGGAGAGCCAGGGAGGAUCCUACAGUUCCUCGUUAUUCAGAAACCACAUUGGGUUAGCAUAGAUGAAGGGGGCAGGUGCUAUUUAUAUUCCUGUGACUUUUUCAGGAUCAUGGAGUCUUUGUGAUUUUACAUUGUACCUGCACACAAAGCCUGCUUUCAGGGCUCUGGCCGUGAUGACUUUUUUGGUUGCAGUGCAUUAGAAGGACAUUUCAGAAGUGUGACAGCAAAUGUUACAUUGAAGGAUAAAGAUGAAAGAAAAGAAAAGCAAAAAACUUUGUGAAGAAAACUUGGAUAUGCUUACAUCAGUAUAUAACCUAAAAAGUAACUCCUCUAGUUACCGAAUAUGAGGGUCUAUGCCAACAAGUUUUGAGGUAUAGGAAAGAUGACUGAUCCACUUAUUAAGGAUAGAGAUCAUGAGGUAAGUGCCUAGUUUAUACUCAGCUUUGCAUGCAACUGAACAAAUCAUACUGCUUCUCUGUGGUUUAGUUUUCCCAUGUGUAAAAUGAGAGUGAUAAUGCUCAUUUAUUUCACAGGGGUGAGUCUUAAUUAUUGUUUGUAAAAUACCUGGUGAGCUUGGUGUGAAUUCUUUGUUCUGCUGGAGUCAAUGCAGGUUUUGCUUCUGGUUGAUUGCAAAAGGAUUCAGAUUUCAUCCUUAAAGUAGUAAAAAUAUAAAGCUUCUGUCCUGUAUUUGGAAACUCCUCUCCCCUGCUCAUACACGUCUCAACAACUGUGUGAAAGUAUAUAUUAUCCUAGUGAUCCAAUUCAUGAAUUUAUCCCAUAAAAACAUUAAAAUUUUGAAUAACAUAUGAAUUUUCAGGUCUCUGGGUUUUUUUUUUCAGUUGGGCUGGCUAGAGAUGGCUUAUCCACCCUGAAUUUGUUCAAGCCCUCAAAAGAACUGAUUUUUACGAACCAUGGAUGAUUUGUCAGCAAUGACAAAUUAAAGCUCCCUUCCCCACUGCUGAAGAGUGUAAGCUAUCAACAGCUGCAUCUUUCCAGCUUUGCCUAUCAUUCAAGAUAUACUAAUCUGCAAAAAAUAAUGGGAAAGCUGAAAUGAUGGGAUUCAGUUAUUAUACCUCCUCCUCCCCUGAAUUCUUCACAAAAGUAUAAGGAGGCAAAGCUGCUAGUCAGCUCUUAUGCAACUAACAUGGCUGGCCAGGGAGACUUUGCACCUGUCAGGAGAGGAAACCAUAUUUUCGUUAAACAUCAGGACAAGAGAAGCUUUGAGAAAACAUCCAGUGAUAGAUUUUUUAAAAGAUUUUUUAAAAAUAUAGAGUGUUGGCUCACAAAACUUAAGAAAUAUCUAGACUGAAAGAUUUGAUAUGCAAACAGGAAGAAUUUGAAAAUUAGUCUCUUGCCAAGAAGACAGAAACAACCUAGAGCAGUAAAGAAGGGCUAUUAAAACAAUGCAUGACAAUUUCUUAUGAUAUUGAAAGAACAUCAAGAAGAAAACAAAAAAAAAUUAUUUUUUUUCCCAAAAAGUCUGCAAGGAAAGCCAUGGAGAUUUUUAAUGUUUGUAUCUCUCUACUUUAUUAAAGCUUAAAUAGCAAGUGAGCCUGUUGCUCCUUGCACCAGCAACUUCCCACCUUCCUGCUCCUGGUGAAUAGAUCCAAAGAAGGAUUCAGUAGGCAAUGCAUUUCUUUUUAUAUUCAGGUUACAUUUUCUUGUUACAAACCUGGAUCAAUUAUUUCAAAUAUCCUACAGACAAUAAUUAACUCUGGCAACUUCCCUGGCUGAAAGACAAACCAUGGUAAGUCAGAAGCAGUGAGGAUUUCAUUCGACAGAGAAAGAACUAGGCACGUUAUAGAAACUUUCAUAAUGCAGCAGAAGAAACAAACAUCAAAGAGCUUGGCAUCUAGUUCCCCUUGGAAAUAGAAACAGACAAGGUUAACCCAGUCCCAGUAACUGUAUAAUUAGCAAGUAACCUAAAUGCAUGGAGAACACUAUUUUUUUUCCUUUUGGAGAAAAUACUUGUAGCUGAAAUGAAUGCCAUUAGUGUGCUGUUUAUUCUGAAUAUUGACCUUAUCUCAUACUCCUGCCUUUCACUUUAUAAACAAUCUAUUGAGAUCUUUUUUGGGUGGUAUAGGCUUACAAAACCAGAAUUUCCUUGCAAAACACAAAUAUGAAAGUCUAUUAAUUGGUUUUGGAUUUCCUGGCACUGCAUGUUUUCACCAAACAGUUUUAAUUGUGGAUCAGCAAUAUACUCAUUUAAUCUCCUGGGUUUUAGAGUGCCAGGUCAGCUUCAGUAGACCUGGUUUCUCCUUUACUCCUUGCCUGUGUGCUGCCUUUGGCUUGCCACCCAAUCCCUACUGUGGAAGCAUAGUCUCAAGAAGUGGUGUGUGGUCUCCCCGUCUUAAAAAAUCAUACCUUUCUGUGUGUCAAGGGGAGCUCAAGUCUCUGCAAGAGGAGACAAAACUAUCCUUCGGCUUGAGGAAGAUCCCUUGUUCAAUGGACUGACUGCUAAUUUAUGUAUUGGAAAAGAUAUCUUUCUUUCAAAGCAAUGAAGGAAAGACUCUGUCCAUAGAAUAACAAGAAAUGGCAACAUAUACAACAUAACUAGGGCCUCCUCCUUUCAAUAGCCCUGAUAUUUGGACUUUUGCAGCCCUCUCCCAAACUGCUUUUGUCUUCCCCAUUUUCACAUGUGCUCUCACUGUUCCUUGGACCUUUGCUUAAGAGUAAUUCAGCAGAAAAUUGUUUGAAAAAUUGUAUGUGGCCCCCUACUGACUAUUUGAAACAGGUGAUGCUAAUCACCCAGUGACUUGGCAGGUGCUAAGUUACCGCUUAUGUUAUGGGAAUGCAACAAGAUCUCUUUGCUAAAAGUGGAGCUGGGUGACCAGCUUAUGUUUUCACCAUCACAACAGUAGCAUUACAACAUAGCUACGUAUCCUGCAAAAUAGAAGAUAAACAAAUGUGAGAAGAAUUUUUUAACAAAGAAGUGAUUUAACUCUGUCUUUUUAUCAGCAGUGUGGAUUUUCUCUGGAGUGCACAGGUUUCAGUGUUACUGCCUGAGGACAGCCAUAGCUUCCAAAUCCACAUGUAUAGAAAGAAGGGAGCAAGUGCCAGAGCUGGAAGAUGCUGCCUCAGCUGGAAAUGAGUUACCAUGUGUCUACUGAAAUGUGGCAGUUUAGGUUUUUUGGGGACAGCUGGGCUGCAUGAUCUGCAGCAAUGAGAAGACCUCAAUUUUCACCAGAAUCUGUGCUUCCCUUUAAAGAUGUAGGAAGGAAUUUGGAAAUGGGAAAUCACAGGAUUUUGGAGGUGUGGUGGAUAAUCAUAAGUUGGGAGCAGGGUUGCUUUGGGAAGAUAUACAAGAGCCAAAUAGGAGAUGACUGCACAGUUGUCUGUUAGGUGAGGAUUUGAGUACAUGGCACAGAUUCAAAAGUUCUGGCUGCCCAAGGAACAUGUUGUAAAAUCAGGCUGUCUCUUGCCCGGUGAAUACUGAAUCAGCUCCAAUACUGAAAUACUGAAAGAGACCUCUGGCAUAUCCAAUAAAAGUAAGAGCAUUAAUGGUAUAAGAAUGCUGGUAAGAUGGGAGAUCAAGGCCCUUUGUCAUCUGGAUUUACAUUCACUAAUAAAAAUAUUAUAUUGAUAAAAGGAGAAAGGAAAACUGUAUUGCCAGGAUCAGGUAUGAUUUAUGCACAGCAGUAAUUACAAGAACACUUGGCUUAAGUCUGUGUCAUGGCUCUUUUGUGGGAUAUAUAAGUAGUGCCAGACAUCGUAGGAGGAUCCAGUGGUAUGAUGAAUAAUAUUAUAGUUAUUGUGGAUAUUAAAAGGAGAUAUAGCUACCAGAAGGGUCAGUAAACAGAGAACAGAGAAUAGGAAAGUGCUAUACAAUUUGUUCUUGACGAGAAACAGAUGAGUCCGUGUUCUUUGUGGGUCAAUGAGUUGUUUUUCUAUAGUUUCUCCCUGUAGUCAGGAGAGGUUUUAGGCAGAAUACAUGGUUGCCAUAGAAGCAGAUGGCUAACAACAUGAAAACGAUCAGUAAUGGUAGGCCUGUGCUUUGCUAUCUGUGUGCCUGAUGAUGUGCAUGUGCCACUGUCCCUUCCCUAUACAAGGCCACAGCUUUUGGAGUGAGUGAGCCUUAUUCUCUUCCCCUCUUUCCCCUCUCCGUCUCUGCAGGACUGAACUCCAGCUGGUUGCAUUUCUGCAGUCCUAUGCAUACCUGCCCACACUCAUGUCACCUGUGUCUCUGGACUCCAAACUUUCCAUCUGUUUCAAGGAAUCAUGUCAUGGAGGUUAGGGUAUGUUUCACCAAGGCAAAGGUUUCUGAGAAACAAGACUUUUUCUGAUAAAUGACCUCUCCAUGAAUUCCUGGAGAACUGAGGCAUAGGAAGAGGAAAAUGAUGCAGAAAGGGAUACAGCAAUGGAUAACACAGGAGGAGAAACAGCAAAGACAGAGAGCUGGUGGGAGAGGUAAGUGAAAGGCAUAUACCUAAUCUGACUAGGGAAGUGGAUAUCAUGGAGGAAGAAGACCUAUUUAAACCAAAUGAAAAUGUUGGAAUAAGUAUAAUGUAGCGUAGGUGAGUCAUGGGAGAAAAUAAACCAGCAAUGAGAAAAGGGUUUCCAUAUACCAGACAGCUAGGAUUCUGGAUCAACCUUCAGAAGACAACUGAGAAGUAUUACAGUGAAGCUGAUGUAUUUAUGAAAUAAAUUGUAUAAGCUGGAUGUUACAGCUAUCAGGAAACUGGACAUAAUGUCAAAAAGAUCCUUCACAGUAGUUCUAUACUAUUUGUCAAUGUGGUCCCAAGUUCACCUGUUAUCCAAACUGAGCACUUGAAAAGGGCCUUAAGUCAGCACCGAGCACAACAUGUAAAAAAGGCCGUUAUCCCUUAAGCAUACACCAAAGCCCUUCUGUACGAUCACAGAGAAGGUAACAAGUUGAAGGCUUGCUGUAUUAUACCUUGCUUGUCUUACAGCUACUGUUGAGAGAAGUCAGCCAGGCUCCUUGCCUAUGCAGGCAGCAGGGCGAAAGGAGUGACCUGCAGGCUGGCAAGUGAACACACAAAGCAGCUCUCAGGGCAGUCCCCAGCCUGCUCCCGGUCUGACAGUGUGGAUGCACUGUCCUGUGUCCUCUGUUCCUCUACAGGAAAAGUAACACAGAAGAGGAUUCCCAACAACCACAGCAAAUCAGCUUAUAUUGAAGCAGAAACACUGAGCUGAGAAAUAAAAGAUAAUAAACGUGGCAGUUAAACAAAGAGGUCAAAUGGCCAAAAAGUAGCUUAGAAAACCAAAGCACACAAAGCCCCAGGGGUCAUCCAUGGAGCUCCAGCUACUGUGUUAUCUACAGAUCCUAAUAAUGUUGGGUUUAACCAAGAGAUUCAUCAAAUGCCAGAGUGUCUUGACAGCAGGGACAAUUAGGGUAUGAAGAAACAUACCUGGUAGCAAGGAAAUACUCAUCUCUCUCUGGUCUCUGCUAGAAGUGAGAGGUGGUUUUGAAUUGUAUUUUCUUCUUGCUGCAACUGUAUUGUGCAAGUGUUGGAUUUCUUUUCAACUGCUGGCCUCUGAUGAUGUAUUAAUUUGAAUAAAUGCAUUUUCUAUUUCAAAAGAAAACGAAACUCCUUCUCAUCCCUUCUACAGCAUACAGCAU